UAGAACACGUGUUGUCAGGGAUUCCCAUGGUGGGUUACUAGCCGUAAUUAUGGUGGAUACGGCGGUGGGUAUGGUGGCAGAAUCGGUGUUGCAUACGGCGGUGGAUACGGUGGUGGAUAUGGUGGUGGGUAUAGUGGUGGAAUAGUCGGUGGAUUAGUCGGCGGAUACGGAUUAGGAGUAAGUAGUGGGUACGGUGGACGAUACGGCGGUGUAUACGGUGGACGAUACGGCGGUGGAUAUGGUGGUGGAUACGGCGGAGGAAAAAAAGGCUAUUAAACUUGACAGAUACCAGAAUUUGACGCAGUAGAAUGAAAACAUCCAUAGAAUGACAUAUGUGUUUUUAAAUAAAUUUGGUUGUACAAAUUUAAA